rnacentral:rRNA from 1 species
GAUGAACGCUGGCGGCGUGCCUAAUACAUGCAAGUCGAGCGAACAGACGAGGAGCUUGCUCCUCUGACGUUAGCGGCGGACGGGUGAGUAACACGUGGAUAACCUACCUAUAAGACUGGGAUAACUUCGGGAAACCGGAGCUAAUACCGGAUAAUAUAUUGAACCGCAUGGUUCAAUAGUGAAAGACGGUUUUGCUGUCACUUAUAGAUGGAUCCGCGCCGCAUUAGCUAGUUGGUAAGGUAACGGCUUACCAAGGCAACGAUGCGUAGCCGACCUGAGAGGGUGAUCGGCCACACUGGAACUGAGACACGGUCCAGACUCCUACGGGAGGCAGCGGUAGGGAAUCUUCCGCAAUGGGCGAAAGCCUGACGGAGCAACGCCGCGUGAGUGAUGAAGGUCUUCGGAUUGUAAAACUCUGUUAUUAGGGAAGAACAAAUGUGUAAGUAACUAUGCACGUCUUGACGGUACCUAAUCAGAAAGCCACGGCUAACUACGUG